rnacentral:antisense_RNA from 1 species
AGCCAACAAAGCCACAGCCCCAUCGGCUGUACUGGGCUCUGCCUUUUGGGCAGCUCGCCGGCCACUCCCCAAAAGCAGAGCAUUCCAUCCUUUCUCUUUUUAAACCCACGUCAUCAUCUGAUCAUAAUGGAAAUCAAUCUCCUCAAACCACCAUGCAAAGGCGUAUCCAUGGCAACCUCAAAAGGAAGGACACAGAGAUGAUGCUUCAGUGGCUGCAGCAGGAAAAGGAAACCUGUAGCUCAGUAUGGAUUCAGGGGCGCCUCAGACGCUCGCAGGAACGGAGCGGAGACCCUUGCAGUUCUGGAGGAACUCUAAGGCGCAGUCACUCUGAUCCCAAGAGAACACUGCUGGGCUGAAGAGCUGAGUCCCGCCCUGACUGAAAACUGCGCGCCGACCGCAGCCGGGAUUACAUCAAUCAGGCACAAAGCUGGACACCUGGGACAGGAUAAGCGCACGCGCACUGUGCCUGGGAAGCCUAUUAGGACCAUAAGAAAUCGGCGUGUCGUGGCGAGCGCCCUCUUUCGGUGGAGGGGAGAAAGCGCAGAAGGUCUGGAGGACUCAUUUGCCAAGUGUUAAACUGCUGAUUAAAACAAUAGCGAUAAACAAUAUCUCCUCCAUUAGCCUGGGGGAGAAAAUUAAAUUUUGCUGCUACUCAGUGUUACUUGUCAUAUGGGGAUACAGGCAUUUUCAUGCGCUUAUGAUGGGAAUGUAAAAUACAAAUUUACAUAAUGGCAUUUUAAAAUUUUAGACAUAGGUUCAAAUUCUUUUUUUUCUUUUUUUAAGACAAGGUCUCGCUCUGUUGCCUAGACUGGAGUGCGGUAGCACGCACAAUCAUGGCUCAUUGCAGCCUUGACUUCUCAGGCUCAGGCGAUUCUCCCACCUCUCAGCCUCCCUAGUAGCUGGGUCUGCAGGCGCGCACCACCAUGCCCUUUCAAUUUUCGUUUUUUUUUUUUUUUUUUUUUUUUUUUUUUGUAAAGACGGGGUUUCACAGUGUUGCCCAGACUGGUCUCGAACCCCUGGGCUCAAGCGAUCCAACCGCUUCGGCCUCCCAAAGUGCUGGAAUUACAGACAUGAGCCACCGCACCCGCCUGGGUUCAAAUUCUAACUGCAAUUUACUAGCUGUGUGAAAUCUAGAGUUAGUUAUUUACCCUCUCUGUGCCUCUGUUUUCUUAUUUGUUAAAGUGAGAAUGUUAAUGAUGGUACCUAUCUCAUUAUGUUGUUAGAAGGAUUAAGUUAAUCCAUGUAAAGAGCCGGAAAUAUAACUAUUGUAAUGUUAUAUUUAU